UCCACACACAACUAACACUAGAAUAUCCCCAUGAAAGGUAGAUCCACACACAACUAACACUAGAAUAUCCCCAUGAAAGGUAGAUCCACACACAACUAACACUAGAAUAUCCCCAUAAAAGGUAGAUCCACACACAACUAACAC